UGUGGCUUUACUGUGUAGCAACAAUGGGACAAAUUUGUGGCUUUACCGUGUAGCAGCAAUGGGACAAAUUUGUGGCUUUACCGUGUAGCAGCAAUGGGACAAAUUUGUGGCUUUACCGUGUAGCAGCGACGGGACAAAUUUGUAGCUUUACCGUGUAGCAACAACGGGACAAAUUUGUGGCUUUACCGUGUAGCAGCAACGGGACAAAUCUGUGGCUUUACCGUGUAGCAGCAACGGGACAAAUUUGUGGCUUUACCGUGUAGCAGCAAUGGGACAAAUUUGUGGCUUUACCGUGUACCAGUGAUGUGACAAAUUUGUGGCUUUACCGUGUAGCAGCGACAGGCAAAAUUUGUGGCUUUACCGUGUAGCAGCAACGGGACAAAUUUGUGCCAUGAUAUAAACCCCAAAAAAUAGAUGAUACAUAAACUGAUCACAAAUGCGUUGAUAAAUAUUAUGAAAUGGUUUGCGUGAGUGAUGAUUUUUUCUCAUUUUUCUUGCUUAGAGGGACCAUUAAGAAACACGAUCCCCGCUGCUACUGGGUUAACACAGUACAAUCAGUAAAGAUUAUUAUUAUUAUACAUAACAUUGAGUAGACAAAGCCAGAGGAGGUCAAACACCAUGUCACAGCAUAAGGAAAUAAUAACAUACAUCGGAAUUACAAAAACAAAACCUGCUAAAACUGGAGGAAGGAAAGAAAAAGCUGUCCGAGAGCGGAGAUAAAGUGCAGGAAAAUACAGUUUGUCGCCGCACCAGGAAGGAACAAAGGUGACAUGAUAAUAAACACAGGUGAGUGGGGGAAAUGAGAGACAUGUAAGGGGUCAUGUCACCAAGCCAAGCCACCACUGAGGACGCAUGAAAAAGCUGUCCGAGAGAGGUGAUAAAAUGCAAGGAAGGAACAAAGGUGACAUGAUGAUGGUAAAUACAGAUGAGAGGGAGAGAAUGAGAGACAUGUAAGGGUCAUGUCACCAAGCCAAGCCACCACUGAGGACACAUGAAAAAGCUGUCCGACAGAGGUGAUAAAAUGCAAGGAAGGAACAAAGGUGACAUGAUGAUGGUAAAUAAAGAUGAGAGGGAGAGAAUGAGAGACAUGUAAGGGGUCAUGUCACCAAGCCAAGCCACCACUGAGGACGCAUGAAAAAGCUGUCCAAGAGGUGAUAAAAUGCAAGGAAGGAACAAAGGUGACAUGAUGAUGGUAAAUAAAGAUGAGAGGGAGAGAAUGAGUGAGAUGUAAGGGUCAUGUCACCAAGCCAAGCCACCACUGAGGACGCAUGAAAAAGCUGUCCGAGAGAGGUGAUAAAGUGCAAGGAAGGAACAAAGGUGACAUGAUGAUGGUAAAUAAAGAUGAGAGGGAGAGAAUGAGUGAGAUGUAAGGGUCAUGUCACCAAGCCAAGCCACCACUGAGGACACAUGAAAAAGCUGUCCGACAGAGGUGAUAAAAUGCAAGGAAGGAACAAAAGUGACAUGAUAAUAAACACAGGUGAGUGGGGGAAAAUGAGAGACAUGUAAGGGCUCAUGUCACCAAGCCAAGCCACCACUGAGGACACAUGAAAAAGCUGUCCGACAGAGAUGAUAAAAUGCAAGGAAGGAACAAAGGUGACAUGAUAAUAAACACAGGUGAGUGGGGGAAAUGAGAGACAUGUAAGGGGUCAUGUCACCAAGCCAAGCCACCACUGAGGACGCAUAAAAAAGCUGUCCAAGAGGUGAUAAAAUGCAAGGAAGGAACAAAGGUGACAUGAUGAUGGUAAAUAAAGAUGAGAGGGAGAGAAUGAGAGACAUGUAAGGGUCAUGUCACCAAGCCAAGCCACCACUGAGGACGCAUAAAAAAGCUGUCCAAGAGCGGUGAUAAAGUGCAGGAAAAUACAGUUUGUCGCCGCACCAAAAAACAUGUGUACAAAAUGUUAAGGAAUUAAUGUGAUGGAAUGAUGUGAUGAAGUCCAGGCCAUGAUGAGCUUGACAACCCUGUGGGAAUAUAAAGAGGUAAACAAACACACACACACACACACACACACACACACACACACACACACAGCUUCCCAUAUAUAGACCUAUUGACAUAUGAUAAAGGCUUGAGGGGAGGGUAUUCAGGAGUAUUCGGUUUCAAAAUAAAAUAGAAAUAAAUAAAAGUUAAUAAAUAAAGAAAUAUGAAUAUGGAGGGUACACCAUGACUAGGUAGACAUAACAAACACACACACACACACACACACCUACCCCCACACAC